GGGCUGCGGCAGGCUACCAUGCAAGUCGAGCGGAUGAAGGGAGCUUGCUCCUGGAUUCAGCGGCGGACGGGUGAGUAAUGCCUAGGAAUCUGCCUGGUAGUGGGGGAUAACGUCCGGAAACGGGCGCUAAUACCGCAUACGUCCUGAGGGAGAAAGUGGGGGAUCUUCGGACCUCACGCUAUCAGAUGAGCCUAGGUCGGAUUAGCUAGUUGGUGGGGUAAAGGCCUACCAAGGCGACGAUCCGUAACUGGUCUGAGAGGAUGAUCAGUCACACUGGAACUGAGACACGGUCCAGACUCCUACGGGAGGCAGCAGUGGGGAAUAUUGGACAAUGGGCGAAAGCCUGAUCCAGCCAUGCCGCGUGUGUGAAGAAGGUCUUCGGAUUGUAAAGCACUUUAAGUUGGGAGGAAGGGCAGUAAGUUAAUACCUUGCUGUUUUGACGUUACCAACAGAAUAAGCACCGGCUAACUUCGUGCCAGCAGCCGCGGUAAUACGAAGGGUGCAAGCGUUAAUCGGAAUUACUGGGCGUAAAGCGCGCGUAGGUGGUUCAGCAAGUUGGAUGUGAAAUCCCCGGGCUCAACCUGGGAACUGCAUCCAAAACUACUGAGCUAGAGUACGGUAGAGGGUGGUGGAAUUUCCUGUGUAGCGGUGAAAUGCGUAGAUAUAGGAAGGAACACCAGUGGCGAAGGCGACCACCUGGACUGAUACUGACACUGAGGUGCGAAAGCGUGGGGAGCAAACAGGAUUAGAUACCCUGGUAGUCCACGCCGUAAACGAUGUCGACUAGCCGUUGGGAUCCUUGAGAUCUUAGUGGCGCAGCUAACGCGAUAAGUCGACCGCCUGGGGAGUACGGCCGCAAGGUUAAAACUCAAAUGAAUUGACGGGGGCCCGCACAAGCGGGGGAGCAUGUGGUUUAAUUCGAACCACGCCAAAAAACCUUACCUGGCCUUGACUGCUGAGACUUUCCAAAGAUGGAUUG
rnacentral:rRNA from 1 species